UUACUAGAAGCUGUGCUCCUGUUACAGCUUAUUGCCACAGAGGCAAGUGUGUCCCUCAGCCGUCAGCCUUCGGAAACCAGUCUCUCAGUAAGAAAAGAUUUUCCAAUGGGACAGAGCUUCUUUCUUGAUAAUCGGCGCCCACGUUGGGCUCAGGCCUGGCUGCUCGCAGUCUGUGCUCUACUUUGCCUCAAGUCCGGGGCAGAUGCUAUAACAUGCAGGCUUUGCUCCAAAUUGGACACAGAGGAGACAUGCACUCCGACUGAUCGUACAUGUACGGGAGACUACUGUAUGAUUGGAGAAGUUUUUGAAGCCGGCACGGAUGAAUUUAUUGAAAUGCAAAAAUUCUGUGGCUCUUUGCCAUUAAAAUACUUGUGUGGACAGGAAUUGCAUGAAUAUCGCAGAGAGAAAAUGACAUGCUGUUAUCACGACUACUGUUCUGAUGAAUAUCCUUAAGUUGUUUUAACCCAUCAGCCUUUCCCUUCCCUCCUUCCCUCCUCAGUUUGCUAUUUUGUUUUGGAAGCUGCUUUGGGGGUGCAUUUGAAUGGAAAUACGAAGCGUUGUAAGAAUGCAAUGAUUCCAAUCCAAUCAAUCUAACCACUAUCACCGUCUGCUCAAAAGCUGCUGCUUUUGAGUGCGGAUCUCAGAAAGACACAAUAAAUAUUAAGCAAUUCUUUCUGUCCCUUCCCCACGGUGGAAGUCAGGCCUUCAUGAACUGUAAUCCAAAUGACAGACAAAAGACUUCUGUUGCCAUUUUGAUGGCAUGUACCGUAUUUUUCGCUCCAAAAGACGCACCUGACCGUAAGUCGCACCUAGUUUUUAGAGGAGGAAAACAAGAAAAAAAAAUCUGAAUGAAACAGUGGAUGUAUGGUUUUUGUG